AAGUUAUUUUCUUUCCUGCAGCUGCUAUUUUUAACCGCACGGUGCCGGUUUCUCUUUGCGUCCCUGUGUGCAUGUUUACCUGUGACCCGCCAGUGGCGCCCAGUGACGCCACAAGGCCGCUGUUGCCAGGCCCGGGCCCGCCCGCCCGCGUUACCAUGACGGCCGCAGCGGCGGCGGUGAGCGGCCGGCCCCUCACCAUGAGCAGAAAGAGGCUGCAGCAGCUCGUGGACGCGCUGGGACACUCCACCAAGCACUUUAAUAAAGGUGAAGUGGAAUGUCUGAUCAAGCUCUUCGACAAGCUGGUGGCCGAGUCCAGCAGCCGCUUUGCUGCAGCCGGCUUUGACCGUAACAUGUUCAGAGACAUUCUGCACAGCGCGUUUGGCAUGACGGAUGAGAUGAUCAUGGACAGAGUGUUCCGCACUUUUGAUAGAGAUAACAACAGCUGCAUCAGCGUGGUGGAAUGGGUGGAAGGCUUAUCCGUAUUUCUUCGGGGGACAAUGGAAGAAAAGAUCAAAUACUGUUUUGAGGUUUAUGACCUGAAUGGUGAUGGAUACAUUUCAAGAGAGGAAAUGUUUCAAAUGCUGAAAAACUGCCUUCUCAAACAACCGUCAGAAGAAGAUCCCGAUGAGGGAAUUAAGGACUUGGUAGACAUAGCAAUGAAGAAAAUGGACUAUGAUCAUGAUGGCAAGCUUUCUUUUAAGGACUUUGAAAAAGCAGUCAGAGAUGAAACUCUUCUCUUAGAAGCCUUUGGACCAUGUUUGCCAGACAUAAAGAGCCGUAUGGCAUUUGAGCAGAAAACCUUCCGGGAAAGCUCGUAAACUGUAACUCCCAGUGGAAUACUGCUGUAAGAAGUUUUUUCAUCACCAUUCUGCAUGAAACCAGGUACAAGUACCACACUGGAGUCAGCAGGACUACCUGCAAAGUUAUUCCGCCUCCCCACGUGGAUAAAAAAAGGUGUAAUUUACUAAAAAUCAUGUAGGACCAUGCACUGACAUUUGUACUUUCUGAAGUGUCGUGUCAGAGGUAUGGAGUAGAAUUGCCUGCAAUAUCCUGCAUUGUGGAAGAGUUAAACAGUAAGAACGCUAGCUUUAAGUGGCAAAUAAACUGAUAAUACUGAGUAAGUGCUGAA